rnacentral:rRNA from 1 species
AUGUCAUCCCCAUCAGCCUUUGCCAAGGAUCCCACUGUUGUAGAUAUGUUGCCGUCGUCCUCACAAUAUCUUGCUCCGGUGGGCAAGCCGAGGGCCCACCUGAGCGGUGGAGCAGGCCCUCCGACGCGGCCGAGGAGUUUGGGUAAUGCCGGGGUUGAGGCGGCCAAGGUCUCCACCAUCUCCAACAAGGGUGGCACCAUAACUGGUUCUACUACUACAACCCUAACCCUGCCUUACUGGCCUUCAACACCCAAUAUGUGGUGUACAAUGAUGUCUGGGCAGCCCGACCUACUCUCAGGGUGCAGGCUUGGGGGAUCCAACCCGGGAGGCGCCGGACGAGCUCAAGGGAAGGAGAUGCACAGACGGGCGGUCAAACCUGUGAAGUCCAAGGUCGUCGACCUGAUGGGUCAGCCUGUCCUCGGGCAUCCCAACCAGCCGGAUGAGGCAUCGAACGGCUCCUCCAAUUUAGGGAAGAGGAAAACGCUCGGGAGCAUCUUCUCUGGGGUCGAUGCAGUGGGUGACACCUCCGGGAAGCAGAAGCUGCCAGCAGCCACUGAGGAGGGGGGAGAGCUUCCGAGAGAGGCAACAAGUGGCAUCAGAGCCAUGUCGGGUACUUUGGCCGCCGGCAAUCGGUCACGUAUGCCCCUGCGCCUCCACGUGGAGUCACAGGAGCAGAGCCAGAGUAGAACCUGCGGCGGUGGCGGUGGUGAAGUGUUGGUGCAGCAGGUGACCUCUGGCGGCACCCUCCCGAUGCUGACACGCACCAACUAUGCAGAGUGGGCGCUGCUGAUGAAGGUUUACCUUCAAGCCCAUGGCUGGUGGGAGGCCGUGUCCAUUGGGAAUGCCUCCUACCACGACGAGCACAAUGCCAUGAUCACCAUCCCGCGAGACGUGCUGAACGCCGUUGACGAGGAGGAGAACGCCAAGGCUGUGUGGGAUGCCAUCGCAAUGCAGCGCAUGGGUGCCAGCUGGGUGCGCGAGGCAAACACACAUAAGCUGCGGCAUGACUUCGGGGGCAUCUCCUUCCGUGACGGCAAGACCAUCGCUGACUUCUCUGGGAACGUCACCAACCUGCGCGCGCUCGGUGACACGCUGGAGGAGCCCAAGGUAGUAGCCAAGUUCCUCCGUGUUGUGCCAUCCCAAUCCGUGCAGGUCGCCAUUGCCAUUGAGACACUGCUCGACCACACGGCUACCUCGAGCAUGCGGCGCCGGCAAGAGGCCGAGCGCGCCGUGGCAGAGGAGCGUGAGCGAGCGGCUGUAGCAGCGGCUGCUGCGGCGGCAAGAGUGUCGAGGCUGGCUGCAGCGGAGCUGGCAGCAGCCAGAGCGGAGGUAGAAGCAGCCAGGGCGGAGGUAGAAGCAGCAGCAGCAGCAGAAGCAGCCCGUGAGGCUACGGCGGAUGCCAAGGCACUCCGCGGCAGCCCCGGCAGCUCCAGCAGCUCCGCGCCCGCGGACGACGGCGCCGACGCAGAUCGCGCCAAAGUGGCGCAGGAGCGGACGGCGCAGUGGGCAGCCGAGCACGCCCGCGCUCCAGGUGGAGGCGUGCACCGCGACGGCGGCUGCAACGACCAGGACCGCGGCCUCUACGAGGUCCGGACUGUGGUCAGGGAUGUUGGUUCCAGUGUUGGGUGGCCUACCCUCACUAAAACCAACUACGUCGAGUGGGCCGGGAUCAUGAAGGUCAGGCUCCAGGUGCGGCGCAUGUGGGAGGCAGUCCAGGACAGCAACGUCGACCACCUAGAGGAUCGACGGGCGCUGGACGCCCUCAUCGCCGCAGUCCCGCCCGAGAUGCAGUUCUCGCUUUCCAACAAGCGGACUGCCAAGGAGGCUUGGGACGCCAUCGCCGCAGCACGCAUCGGCAGCGACCGUGCUCGCAAGUCCACCCUGCAGGCACUUCGUAAGGAGUGGGAGAACCUGGGCUUCAAGCCAGGUGAGGACGUUGAUGACUUUGCUCUCCGUCUCAACACUCUGCUGCAGAAGAUGGUGAAGUUUGGCGAUGCCACCUACACCGAGGAGAGAGCUGUCGAGAAGCUUUUUCGGUGCAUUCCCGAGAAGUACAAGCAGAUGGCUCGCUCGAUCGAGUCGUUGCUGGACCUCUCCACGAUGACGAUCGAGGAGGCGAUAGGAGUGGGAGGCCCGGAAGUAGCAACCCCGAGGCAACAACAGCUCUUCCUCUGGCGGGCGGAACAACCGCCUGAGGGGCAGUGCUCGUGGGGCGGUGCCCGCGGAGGUGGAUGCGAGAACGGCCAUGACCACAAGAGCGGCGGCGACAAAGACAAAUGCCGCUACUGUGGCAUAAAGGGCCAUUGGGCCCGUGAAUGCAGGAAAAAGAAGAGGGAGGAGGCACUCCUUGCUCGAGCCGACAAGGAGGCUGAUCCGGACUUGCUGCUGGCCGAUGUCGUGGAGAUCUCUGCCACGGCCGCGAAUUUCGCUGCCAUGGUAGCGGUUUCGCACCCUCCCAUAGCUGCAGUGGAAAAUCCUGCCAUGUCAGCGAAUUGGUUGCCACGACAGCGAUUCCAGUCUCGCCAUGGCAGCGGAUCUGAGCCCCACAAGUGGACGUGCCCCGUGAUCUUUCUCAACGAAGAGAAGGUAAAUGUCGUCCCCGCCGGCGACGACGAGCCUCGGGACACGGUGUGCUACCUUGACACCGGUGUGUCAAAUCGCAUGACCGGUGAUCUCGCAGCCUUCACCGAGCUUGACAUAUGGAUCGUUGGAACUGUGCGUUUCGGUGAUAGAUCCGUGGUGCGCAUCGAGGGGCGUGGCACCAUUGCCUUCUCCAUCGAUGGUGCCACUGAAAGGUCUAUGCACGAGUAG